UACGUAGGGUCCGAGCGUUGUCCGGAAUUAUUGGGCGUAAAGAGCUCGUAGGCGGUUUGUCGCGUCUGCUGUGAAAUCCCGAGGCUCAACCUCGGGUCUGCAGUGGGUACGGGCAGACUGGAGUGCGGUAGGGGAGAAUGGAAUUCCUGGUGUAGCGGUGAAAUGCGCAGAUAUCAGGAGGAACACCGAUUGCGAAGGCAGCUCGCUGGGACGUAACUGACGCUGAGACGCGAAAGCGUGGGGAGCAAACAGG
rnacentral:rRNA from 1 species